rnacentral:rRNA from 1 species
CAGCCGCCGCGGUAAUACGGAGGGAGCUAGCGUUGUUCGGAAUCACUGGACGUAAAGCGCACGUAGGCGGCUAUUCAAGUCAGGGGUGAAAGCCCGGGGCUCAACCCCGGAACUGCCUUUGAAACUAGAUAGCUUGAAUCUUGGAGAGGCGAGUGGAAUUCCGAGUGUAGAGGUGAAAUUCGUAGAUAUUCGGAAGAACACCAGUGGCGAAGGCGACUCGCUGGACAAGUAUUGACGCUGAGGUGCGAAAGCGUGGGGAGCAAACAGGAUUAGAUACCCCUGUAGUCCCUGUCUCUUAUAC